rnacentral:misc_RNA from 1 species
AACUUUUAGCAAUGGAUCUCUUGGUUCUCGCAUCGAUGAAGAACGCAGCGAAAUGCGAUAAGUAAAGUGAAUUGCAGAAUUCAGUGAAUCAUCGCAUCUUUGAAUGCACCUUGCGCUCUUUGGUAUUCCGAAGGGCAUGCCUGUUUGAGUGUCAUUAAAUUCUCAAACCUCUUACUGGUUUACUCUAGUUUUGAGGCUUUGGAUUUGGGAGUCUUUUGCUGGAACCUAUUCAUUAGGGAUCAGCUCUCCUUAAAUGCAUUAGCGGUUAACUUGAUCCCCUUUCAUUGGUGUGAUAAUUAUCUACGUCUUUGGAACGAUCAGCAGAAUGUUAAUAGCUUCUAGUCAGUCCCUUAGUUGGACAACUUUUAUGACCAUUUGACCUCAAAUCAGGUAGGACUACCCGCUGAACUUAAGCAUAUCAAUAAGCGGAGGCU